CCUGCUCCAGGUCCCACAGUAUUAAGUGGCAGACCUGGGAGGGUGGUGGCCCAGCAGCAGUCUGGUUCCAGGGGCUGCAGGUUUAACUAUGUCACACUGCCAUAGUGAAUGUCACAAUGUCACAGUGCCAAAGUGAAUGUCAAAAGCUCAGAUUUGGGACCUUGGUGACUAUGAGGCCCGAGACAAAUGGGCCUCUCUGCUCUUCUCUCCCCGUGAGUGCCAGUCCCUCCUGGGAGACGUGGGACAGUGCAGUGCCUCAAAGGAGGCAGCGAGGUGUGGGAUCCAGGACCUGGAAGAGAGAUGGGGCAGAGAGGGGAUCGAACUCGGGACCUUGUGCUUGCGAGGCCGGCGCUGGAACCACUGAGCUAAAUCCCCGGGCCCUCAUUUUUACUUUUAACUAGCAUUGAACAGCAUCAUGAAAAGCACAUCUUGUGUGCAUCAUCUUGAAUUCACAUAGUUUGCAUGACAUAAGCAAUUAUCAUUCUGCUUUACAUGGAGAAAAACAAGCCCUAGAGAGAAAAAAUUUGUCCAAAGACUCCUGGUAAGAACACAUGGGUAUCAAGGAGUUCUGGGUUUCUGUGGUUGCAUCACAAGCCAUUGCUGUGCCAUAAACUGUUUUGUUCACAAAUUCUCCAUGAAGCAGGCCUUCAUGGGGAAGCCUCAUGGGUUCGUCUCUAGUCCUCUUGGUAUUAGCCGGGCAGCUUGGUGGCCAAGGUCUGGAGUCACCUCAGAGCUCCUUCCUUCUUGUGACCAGCAGGUGAUGUUGCUGUUGCCUGGAACCCCCUGGAGUUAUCAGCUGGGACAUCUCCAUGUGGCCUCUGUGUGUGACCACCAGGCUGGUGCUUAGAUGGUUUGCAUUGCUGUCCGCAUCCUCCAGUCUUCUUCUUCUUCUUCUUUUUUCUUUUUUGGUACCAGGGAUCGAACUCGGAUCCUUGUGCUUGCAAGGCAGGAGGUGGAACCACUGAGCAAAAUCCGCGGCCCCUUCAGUCUUCUUUUGUUUGUUGAUGUAUGUUUCACUGUCGGGAGCAUUUCUACAUAAAUUUUUGGGAAAAAUCAUUUCAUAAUUAAAGUAUGACUAUAGCUGUCUGAAGCUCAAUGCCCCUUGCCCCUGAGCCGGCUGUGGCAUGCGGAAACAACUCCGUUUUGCCUCCCGUCACAGGUGAGGCCUCGAUGGUUCUGUGACACUGUGGUGCUCAAUGGCAAGAUAACAGCAAUUGAAGACAGCCUGGUUCUUUGUUUCUUUCUUUUUUUUUUUUUUUUGGUACCAGGGAUCGAACUCUGGAUCUUGCGCUUGCAAGGCAGGCGCUGGAAAGCCUGGUUCUUUGAGAACCCAGUAGUAAAACAAAAGAGAAAGGUCCACCUGGGGAGGGACUAAUUCCUUGUCAAACUUAAGUCAUCCUACCCACUAUUGUGAGAAUGUUCUCCUUCCAGUCCUCCUCAAAGAACCUCUUCAUCAGCUCCUCAUUGUCCUAGGAUCACCGCUGCCCCCUAGUCUAGGUCACCUGAUGAUUCCCCCAGUUAUUGUGUGCACCCAAUAAAUGAUGGCUAGCUCAGAGAGUCUUUGUCCUUGCCCACUCUGAGGCACUGACCUCCUAUAUACUUUGAAAUUACACAAGUCUCUAUUGUCUUUUUUCUCUUUAGCCCUUGCUGUCACCCUUUCUAGGUAGUUGGAGGAUUGAGUACCCUCUGAUAUUCACAUACAAUGUUUUGUGAUAAUGUCCAGGUGUUUAGUGGUACCUAUUCCAUGGCCUAUUUUAGGGAACAAUCAGACUGUAUUGAGAUCAUUGUUCCUACUACCAGGGAGUGAGGUUCUUUCUUUCUUUCUUUUUUUUUUGAGACAGGGUCUCACUAUGCAGUUCAGGCUGUCCUUGAACUCACUAUGUAGCUCAGGCUGGCCUUGAAUUUGCCGAAAUCCUCCCAAGUGCUGGGAUUAUAGGCACCACCAGGCCUGGUGAGCUUCUUAAGGGCAGAGGUCAAGUGUCUUUGGAUUCCCUGUGGCUGGGACAGUUCUGGAGGCUGGGAAGUCCACUAUCAAGACAUUGGCAUCUAGGGCCAGGGAUUUAGCUCAGUGGUUCUGACACCUGCCUCACAAGCACAAGGUCCCGAGUUCAAUCCCUGGUACCAAAAAAAAAAAAGAUAUCAGCAUCUGAUGAGGGCCUUCUUGCUGUGUCAUCCCAUGCUGAAGGUGAGAGAAUAAGAUAGCCAGAGCAAUAGCCUGUGUGUGUCCGCCUGUAAGUAUGUGUGGUACUGGAGAGUGAACCCAGAGCUGUAUCCUCAGCCCCUUUUUUAUUUUUUAUUUUGAGACAGGGUCUUGCUAAGUCACUAAAUUGCCCAGGCUGGGACAACAGGCUUGUGCCACCAUGCCUUGUUUGCCAUAACAUUUUUUUUUUUUUUAACCAGGGAUGGAACUCCGGACCUUGUGCUUGUGAGGCAGGUGGCAGAAACACUGAGCUAAAUCCCCAACCCAUGCAAUAACAUUUUUUUUUUUUUUUUUGCACUGGGGAUCGAACUCAGGACCUUGUGCUUGCAAGGCAGCGCCGCAACCACUGAGCUAAAUCCCCGACCCAUGCAAUAACAUUUUUUAAAAGAAUAGUUUUAGGUUCAUGGCGACACUUGUUGCCAGAACACUUGCAGCGCCUCCCUCAUUAUUGACAUCCCACAGUGGGUUAAAAUUGGUGAGUCUACAUUGACCCAUCAUUAUCCCCCAAACCCAAGUGUACAUUAGCACUCACUCUUGGUAUACAUUCGUUGGGUUUGAACAAAUGUGUCCACUUUGAAGGUGUCCUAUACAAUAGUUUCACUGCUCUAACAAUCCUCUAUGCUCUGCCUAGUCUUCCCUUCCUCUCCCUGGAAGCCACUAAUCUUUUUACUGUCUCCAUAGUUUUCCUUUCUGCAGAAUCAUACAGUAUGUAGCCUUUUCAAAUUGGCUUCUCUCACUUAAUACUAUAUGCUUAAAACUCUUCCACGUCUUUUCAUGGCUUGUAGCUCAUUUUGUUUCAGCGCUGAACAGCAAACCAUUGUCUGAAUGAAUCAGAGUUUGUCUGUUCUACAGCUGAAGGGUGUCUUAGUUGCUUCCAAGUUUUGGCACUUAGGACAAAUGCUACUAGAAAGAUUCCUGUGUGGGUUUUUGUGAGCAUCUUUCCAUAUGCUUAUUUGCCACCUAUAUAUCCUGUUUGGUGAGGUGUCUGUUCAGAUCUUUUGCCCAG
rnacentral:lncRNA from 1 species